rnacentral:lncRNA from 1 species
GCAGUAGUAGUAGUGGUAGUAGUAGUGGUAGUAGUAGUGGUAGUAGUAGUGGUAGUAGUAGCAGUAGCAGGAGCAGUAGUGGUAGUGGUAGUAGUAGUGGUAGUGGUAGUAGUAGUAGUAGUAGUAGUAGUAGUAGUAGUAGUAGUAGUAGUAGUAGUAGUAGUAGUAGUAGUAGUAGUAGUAGUAGUAGUAGUAGUAGUAGUAGUAGUAGUAGGAGCAGCAGCAGCAGCAGCAGUAGCAGCAGCAGCAGUAGUAGCAGCAGUAGCAGGAGUAGUAGCAGGAGGAGGAGUAGUAGCAGGAGUAGCAGGAG